GCCUGGGUGGCUCAGUCGGCUGAGCGUCCGACUUCAGCUCAGGUCACGAUCUCGCGGUUUGUGAGUUCGAGCCCCGCUUCGGGCU
rnacentral:tRNA from 1 species